CGCCAAGUAAUUAACACUCCUGGACCGAUGUGAAAACGUUCGUCCAGGAUUAAUGUUAUAGCCAACCAAUCAGGGGUCAUUAGAGGUGGGAUCAUUAGAGGUGGUACGUCAUCAACAGGGCGACUAGCAUUUCCAAAUAUUCGCCUUAUUCACCCGGAACGUUCUAAAGACGUUGAGGGGUACACUUCAGGGGUACAUUCGGCAACGCACCAGCUGUCAUGGCGCCUCAGUGUUGUGUGCCCAAAUGUGCGUCCUCAAAGAGAAAAAAUCCUACCGUGGACAGACUUUCCACCGUUUCCCCAAAGAGCAGGCACUUCGCCGUGAAUGGAUAAAUCACGUCAAGAGGGAUCCUGGUCCAUAUUUCAAGAUCAACGCUGAGACCAAGGUUUGCUCUGAGCACUUUGAGAAGCAGUGUUUUGUAAAGACCGCCCGUGGUAUCACAGAGCUUAUAAAGGAUGCUGUGGCAACUUUGUUCGCCUGGACUUCAGAGAGGCCAAAGAGGAGAAUCAUCAUUCGCAGACCGAGUACGGAUUCCAUGGAGGUGGAUGAAAACCAGCCUGAUGUGAGAAGGGAUGCCUUGAGUGUUGUCUUGUUGUCCCUCCAGCACAGAUGUACCUCCUCCACAGCCAUACCAUGAUUAUGCUGUUCCACCGCUGACACCAGAGGGACAACUUGAGGCGGCACGCAAGCACAUCAUAGAGCAAGACAAGUUAAUAGCACAACCUAAAGGGACACUGUGUGGAGCUUUCCCAUGACCAAGAGAUGAACGCUAAACUCAAUAGUUUUUUUUUUCUCCUCCUUCCUGCCUGCACUGUAGAAAAAAGUCAGUAAACAAAACAAAUGAUUGGAUUUCACAGAUUUGUUUAUUACAAUUUCAGAGAGAAGUGAUGUAUGCAUAAUAAAAUACAUUAUUAUAUAAUAAUAUAACAUUUAGUAUAAUAAGAUGAUCUAUGAUGCACACUUAAAGCAUGAGAGAUUUGUAGAAAUAAACAUCAAUUCAAUGUAUGUUUCCUAUUUCACUUGUGACUGAAUUUUUCAUAAUUUCAGAAUAAUGGGCCUUGGACGUUUGUUAACAUUGCACUCACUGCCCACAUCUGGUUAACAGAGCCUACUAGUGUC